AUUGAACGCUGGCGGCAGGUCUAACACAUGCAAGUCGAGCGAGCGGCGGACGGGUGAGUAAUGUCUGGGAAACUGCCUGAUGGAGGGGGAUAACUACUGGAAACGGUAGCUAAUACCGCAUACCAUCAGAUGUGCCCAGAUGGGAGUAGAUAGUAGGUGGGGUAACGGCUCACUUAGGCGACGAUCCCUAGCUGGUCUGAGAGGAUGACCUGACAACCUGGAACUGAGCCACGGUCCAGACUCCUACGGGAGGCAGGAGUGGGGAAUAUUGCACAAUGGGCGCAAGCCUGAUCCAGCCAUGCCGCGUGUGUGAAGAAGGCCUUCGGGUUGUAAAGCACUUUCAGCGGGGAGGCGUUACCCGCAGAAGAAGCACCGGCUAACUCCGUGCCAGCAGCCGCGGUAAUAC
rnacentral:rRNA from 1 species